AGGAGCAGGGAGGAAGAGCAUCAUAAUAAUUUUUGAAAAAAUGCAAUUACUCACUAGCUCCCUAACCUGACCCUCGAGAGUCAUUAAGAGCAGAUUUAAUUUUAGUUGGUGAUAAAAAUUUUAAUACCAAAUCCCUCAAUUCAUUGAUCAUUCUGCUCUAUACAUCUGACAUGAAGAGAAACUUACUGAUAAUGCUAAACACACAAAUACUUGAACUUUAAUCUUAGUUUCUGCUGAGUUUAUAUUCAAUUGAAAAACUGAUCAUACUAACCUCUAUAGUCUGAUAAAAAGCGAGAAACAAAAAAAAACUGCUGCUAGGCUUUUGAGCAUAUAGUGCAUACAGUCCUUCUACAGACCCAGUUUCACACUAAACUGAAGGGACAAAAGACCCAAGGUAUUACCAGACUUGUCUAAGAAAGAGACACAGCAGAGCAUCCUGAUUUUAAUCCUGAUUUGACACCAGGGACCAUUUGCAACCUUUAUUAAAGAGGCUAUGAAAUUCACAGAAAGAGGCCUUUAGGUCUGGUGGUGAUGGUGGGGUAGCAGGCAGGCCAAGAUAAUCAACAGGAAGUGAGAUGAAGGGCAGUGGAGAAUGGUCAGGCAGGCGAGAUGCAGGAACCAGAGAGGCAAACCAUCCAACCAUCUUUGAAGAACGACUUUUCACACCACCAGGAUGGAGGCCCAAACUGGUCCUUAAAACCUGCAUGAUGAGAAAAUGACUAAGAAACAGACGUGAUGGCUGAAGGCCAGGAAAAGAGAAGCACGAAGCAGACUUACAGAGCAGACCUCAAAUGACACAAUAUGACUGUACAUGAGUCAGCUUAUUGAUGUAACCUCUGACCUGCCUUUGAAUCCUUGGAAAACAAAGGAAACCAAUCAGUUGCUUUUCCCAGUGUAGUUGCACCACUGUAGCAG
ensembl:lncRNA